CGUUUAGGGGUAAACCUGAGAAACCCGAAAGGUCGAAGGAUGAAAUUCAUCACGUUAUCGUUGCUGACGUUAAGUGUAUGUAUGACAAGCAAUGCAGUAUCUUUGCGAGCAUCAUUGCAUUUUUCGAUUUAGCGACGAACGUGUGCACUUUUCAUCUGGUAGAACGUCGCGAUCCGUUGGGUGUUGGUCUACGAUUUGCAUUGGAGCUCAGAUGAUGUAUGUCUAAUUUAGAUGUACACCCGUUUGAACUUGCAUUUUUCUGACCAACACGCCUGACGGUAUACGAACGGUUUAGGGCCGCUCGUUAUUUAAGGAGCGUUCGACUCUGGGCAAGCGCGUUAGCUGUUUCGAUGAUCGGACUUUGUGCUGAUCGCGAUCACUAAUGACUGUUGGCCUAGAUGUUCUCGAACAGACCCAUAUUUCAAAAAACCGAUCUGCGGCGCUAUAGCUUUGGGUACUUUCAGGACCCGUCUUGAAACACGGACCAAGGAGUCUAGCAUGUACGCAAGUCAUUGGGUAGAAUGAAACCUAAAGGCGAAAUGAAAGUAAAGAUUUUCCUUGUGAGAAUCUAGGGAAGACCAGUGGUUUUCUUAUCAAGAAACUGCUGUGCAUUCCCGGGGCGUCUCAUUCUCAUCGCGAGAGGAGGCGCACCAAGAGCGUACACGCUGGGACCCGAAAGAUGGUGAACUAUGCCUGGUCAGGAUGAAGUCAGGGGAAACCCUGAUGGAGGUCCGUAGCGAUUCUGACGUGCAAAUCGAUCGUCGGAACUGGGUAUAGGGGCGAAAGACUAAUCGAACCAUC
rnacentral:rRNA from 1 species